rnacentral:rRNA from 1 species
UACGAAGGGGGCUAGCGUUGUUCGGAAUUACUGGGCGUAAAGGGCGCGUAGGCGGCGUGUCAAGUCAGGCGUGAAAGCCCCCGGGCUCAACCUGGGAACCGCGCUUGAGACUGGCAUGCUCGAGUUCGGGAGAGGAUGGUGGAAUUCCCAGUGUAGAGGUGAAAUUCGUAGAUAUUGGGAAGAACACCGGAUGGCGAAGGCAGCCAUCUGGACCGACACUGACGCUGAGGCGCGAAAGCGUGGGGAGCAAACAGG